rnacentral:rRNA from 1 species
GUAGUCCUACGGGAGGCAGCAGUGAGGAAUAUUGGUCAAUGGGAGAGAUCCUGAACCAGCCAAGCCGCGUGAGGGAAGACGGCCCUAUGGGUUGUAAACCUCUUUUGUCGGAGAACAAAACCCGGGACGAGUCCCGGACUGCGUGUAUCCGAAGAAAAAGCAUCGGCUAACUCCGUGCCAGCAGCCGCGGUAAUACGUAGGGAGCAAGCGUUGUCCGGAUUUACUGGGUGUAAAGGGUGCGUAGGCGGCUUUAUAAGUCAGAAGUGAAAUCCAUGGGCUUAACCCAUGAACUGCUUUUGAAACUG